UAGGUUCUCUCAUACCCGCUUUAUUCAUUCAACUUUUCUUCAUCGUAUUCUCUAGAUCUCUCUACGACGCCGUCGUAUCGGAGGCUACUCGAUGUAGAUCGUCACAUAUCUGUUUCCGAUCUACAGAUCGGCGUCUUUUAUGAAGAGAUCGAGUUUCUUUGGCUGUUUCAUCGGCAGAAGACGGAUCGUACAGCUCAAGAUCCCCGAAGAUCGGUUGAAGAACUGAUCUGAUCCUAUCCUUGGAUCAUGAAAUCGGCCUCGAGGUUUCUCAGAUCUAUGGUAUGCGGCGCUGAUCUGUCGAUGAGGUGAUGAAUCCGAGCUUUGGAGAGGAGAGAUUGAAGAAGAGAGAAGAAGCUGAUGUGUUGAUUUGAUGUGAGUUAUGAUGAUGGAUGUAUGAGAUGUUUUGAGGGACGAUACAGCCUUUUGGGGAUAGUUUUGAAAAAAGGCUUGAGUUCCUGAGUAAAAACAUCUUUGUCAUCCGACCUUUGCCAUGACAGGUGCGCUUGCAUGGCAGGUCACAAAUCCUUAAUAAAAAAAUAUAGUUUCGUGUUGGUUGAGGGGAGUUCGCACGGGGGAUUUUUUUUUGCCCGGGUUCUCCCCUCUCUUUUUGUGUGUCUUGCUUCUCACUCUUGCGCACUCUCGAUUCCACAAAUAUUUCUCAGUUCCACAGAAAAUUUCUCAAAACGAUCCGGAUCAGUGGAUCUGGAGACAAGCUGGCCAUCUAAAUCCAAACAACAAAGGUACUUUUAAUUUCAAAAUUUCAAUUAUCUUUAAUUGCUUUGUUUCAGUCAUAUAACAAUCCUGCAUCAUUCAACAAAUCUGACUCCCCCAGUAAUCUUACAUCCCCGAACUGUUUUUCAAUUUUGUUUCAUACCACAUAUGUUGACUGAUUUAAUCAUUAUUAUGCGGAGAAUUGCUGGGAAUUAUAAUUGUUGUAGCUGUGAUAUAACUCCUCUCUCUCUCUCCAGUUUUGAUACUUUCAGAAACGCAAUUUAUUUUAUAUGCAAUAUAUUUUUGCUUGUUAUUGAUUUGUCUUUUGUAAAGAGCGAUGUUUAAGAGUUUGUAUCCAUUUUUGUGAUCAUCCAUACAGAAGUAUUAUUAUUAAAUUUCAUUCAAUAAAACAUGUUAAUGUAUUUAGAAAUUUCUACUUGGAUUUAUCCUGGGACAUGAACUUGGGAGCUAUGGUCUAGCAGCUGGAGAAGCAAUACAUACCGAGGUAUCUAAAACAAGUAGUCUGUACAAUGAAAAUGUGUAUGAAGGCGCUUUGAUACCAUAUUGAUACAACAGCUCUUAUGUUUUAUAUUAUUGUUGACAAUCUAAAUUCUUGAAAUUUUAUUAGUUUAAACUA